UUUGGGACACGUGACUCUAAAUGUGCGAACCUUCCAAUAAUUUUAAAGAACAACGGCAACGUUUGAGUGGGAGGGGUUACGUUAGAAAUCGCGGUGGAUACAGCGGUAAGGAGAAAGACAGAGACCGAGUCAGGAGCCAGAGUGGAGCCGUGGCUGUUUUACCAUUGGAAACAGUUUGGAAGAGAGCGAAUUUUAAGUGCGUCGUGUGCGAAAUUCAGGUUGGAUAAGAUGCCAUUGACAGUCUGCACGUAAACAAGAACUACACGCUUGGCAAACGCACUAAUUCUGUAAACUAGGACCUGAACCUCGACGUUAACGUGGUUAACGGUGUCAAAUAAAUGAAGCAACGUUACAAUUUGCUGACAAAGUGAGAGGUGAGUGUUUUGCUAUGUUCAAAUGUUCAAAGUUCACUUGUCAGGUGUCUGUGAAAACCUUAAAAGGUUACUACGUACAACAUCAAGGGUUACACAGAAAUGAGGCUCAUUACCAGUAUGCAUGUUGGAAGUCUCACUUUAGAAAUUAUAAUUCAUUUAAAUGCCAU